rnacentral:sRNA from 1 species
CGGACAGGGGGGUCCCCGCCAUCCCGCGGGGCCUGUCCGAACGGGCCGCGCGGACUCCUGCGCCGGGCGGCCGGUGGUUGUCGCUCGGGGGUGAUCGCCG